CCAAUAGCGUAUAUUAAAGUUGUUGCAGUUAAAAAGCUCGUAGUUGAAUUUCGGGAUUGACGUGAUGGUCGUGCCUUACGGGGUAUGAACUGUUGCUGUUGAUUUCUCACCUUCUGGAGAAACUUGAUGUCCUUAAUUGGGUGUCUUGCGGAUCCAGGACCUUUACCUUGAAAAAAUUAGAGUGUUUAAAGCAGGCAUUUUGCUCGAAUACAUUAGCAUGGAAUAAUAGAAUAGGACGGCAUGGUUCUAUUUUGUUGGUUUCUAGGAUCACCGUAAUGAUUAAUAGGGAUGGUUGGGGGCAUUAGUAUUCAAUUGUCAGAGGUGAAAUUCUUGGAUUUAUUGAAGACUAGCUACUGCGAAAGCAUUUGCCAAGGAUGUUUUCAUUAAUCAAGAACGAAAGUUAGGGGAUCGAAGACGAUCAGAUACCGUCGUAGUCUUAACCAUAAACUAUGCCGACUAGGAAUCAGACGAUGUUAAUUUUUUAAUGACUCGUUUGGCACCUUACG
rnacentral:rRNA from 1 species